AGGCCUGAGGGGAUUAUUCCCAAAAAAUUUCCUAUUAUUCUAUUCCCAAAUUCUUAAUUUUUUUGUAAUUAUUCUUCUGUAUUUAUGGCUAUUAUUCUCAAAUUAUUCAUGUAACAUAAGAUAAGCCUGUGUAUAGUCCAAGAGAGAGGCUUGGAGAGAGGUGUCUUGUUAAUUACCAAUAUGGCUGUAAAAGCAUGAUUUUUUGGCUACAUGAGACCAAGCUGGCAGUCCUUCUGAAUUGCAAUUCCACCAUUCAACACAUGGAGUAUAUCAAAACACAUGGAGUAGCCAUUUUUAUUCCCGUUCACUACCGUUUAUUCUUAAUUUAUGCUAGUAUUCUCAAGGAACCUAUUAUUCCUAAAAUUAUUCCAGCAUAAUCCCCGCACCCCUACCCGUAGGAGGGGUGUUAUGUUUAACUUAACCUAUAAAGCCAUAGAGAUCAAAGGCAUCAAAUUGCAUCACUCUCACGUGACUCAACUAAAAAGCACAUGUAGUGAAAAAUGGCAGAAGGAGAAGCUCGAGGAGAAGUGACAAGUGCUGCUAAAAAAGAGAAAAUUAGCACCAGCAGAGCGUUUCAAAGACGCUAGUGACCAAGACGUCAUCGAUGAGAUAACCAAAGGCUACAUUCCUGCUAAUACUAAGAAGAGUACUGCAUGGGAUAAAUGGAUAUUCUGUAGGAACAAUUACAUUCAACUUUAAUUCUAAUUUACAAUGAACUCUGAUUCUGUAUGGACAAUUUCAAUUUUUGUCUCAAAUUAAUCCAUUAUUUUUAUGGGUGCAUGCAGUCCAAUAUA